AAAAAAAAAAAAAUCAUGGGAUCUCUCUAUACCAUUCGCAUGGUUGUUGGAGUCAUUGGAAAUGGUGCUUCUUUGCUGCUUUAUGCUGUUCCCAUAUUGACAUUUUGGAGGGUUAUGAAGAAGAAGAGCACAGAGGAAUUUUCAUGUGUUCCAUACAUUGUUGCCCUAAUGAAUUGUCUUCUUUACACUUGGUAUGGUCUACCAAUUGUAAGCAAAGGAUGGGAAAAUUUCCCUGUUGUCACCAUUAAUGGCCUUGGAAUUCUUCUUGAGUUACUCUUCAUUUUCAUCUACUUUUGGUUUGCUUCAUCUAAAGAAAAGAAGAAAGCGAUUUUGAGAUUGGUGGGAGUUAUUACAAUAUUCAGCUGCGUGGGAUUGAUCUCUGCUUUGGUUAUAAAAACUCAUCACCUUCGUAAGCUUUUUGUGGGAUGCAUUGGCCUCGUUGCUUCUAUUGCUAUGUAUGCCUCUCCAUUGGUCGCCAUGAAGCAAGUGAUAAAGACAAAGAGUGUCGAGUUUAUGCCAUUUUACUUGUCUUUCUUUUCAUUCUCGGCAAGUUCCUUAUGGUUGGCUUAUGGACUCCUUAGUCAUGAUCUCUUCCUUGCGUCUCCAAAUCUAGUGGGAAGCCCAUUGGGAUUGCUUCAACUCGUGCUGUAUUGCAUAUAUAGGAACAAGGAACAUGAACAAGAAGUUAUGAAGAAGGAAAAAGGAGGCGUUGUUAUAGGGACUGUGGCCAAUUGGGACUUGGAAAAGAAUAAUAAUCAAGAUCACAUUCCACACCAAAAUACCUCUUAAAUUUACUACAAACAAUUUAAUCUAGAUGAGUGAUUACUCAAUGAAACCAAAGGUACUUCAAGUGGCCUAUACAUUUAAAACCACUCAUUACGAGUUGUUUAAGUGUAUUAUCAUGUACGAG
rnacentral:misc_RNA from 1 species